rnacentral:rRNA from 1 species
UACGUAGGUGGCAAGCGUUGUCCGGAAUUAUUGGGCGUAAGACGCGCGCAGGCGGUCCUUUAAGUUCUGAUGUGAAAGCCCACAGGCCUCAACCCGUGGAGGGUCAAUUGGAAACGUGGGGGAGCUUGAGAUGCAGAAGGAGGAAAGCGGAAUUCCACGUGUAGCGGUGAAAUGCGUAGAGAUGUGGAGGAACACCAGUGGCGAAGGCGGCGUUUCUGGUCGUGAUAACUUGACCGCUGGAGGCGCGAAAGCGUGGGGAGCAAACAGGAAUAGAAACCCUUGGUAGUCCAAGACCGAAUGU